rnacentral:rRNA from 1 species
ACGAACGCUGGCGGCGUGCUUAACACAUGCAAGUCGAGCGGUAAGGCCCUUCGGGGUACACGAGCGGCGAACGGGUGAGUAACACGUGGGUGACCUGCCCCCUACUCUGGGAUAAGCCUGGGAAACUGGGUCUAAUACCGGAUAUGACUACAUGUCGCAUGGUGUGUGGUGGAAAGUUUUUCGGUGGGGGAUGGGCCCGCGGCCUAUCAGCUUGUUGGUGGGGUGAUGGCCUACCAAGGCGACGACGGGUAGCCGGCCUGGGAGGGCGACCGGCCACACUGGGACUGAGACACGGCCCAGACUCCUACGGGAGGCAGCAGUGGGGAAUAUUGCGCAAUGGGCGGAAGCCUGACGCAGCGACGCCGCGUGGGGGAUGACGGCCUUCGGGUUGUAAACCUCUUUCGGCCCCGACGAAGCGUGAGUGACGGUAGGGGUAGAAGAAGCACCGGCCAACUACGU